GACGAACGCUGGCGGCGUGCCUAAUACAUGCAAGUAGAACGCUGAAGGAGGAGCUUGCUUCUCCGGAUGAGUUGCGAACGGGUGAGUAACGCGUAGGUAACCUGCCUGGUAGCGGGGGAUAACUAUUGGAAACGAUAGCUAAUACCGCAUAAGAGUAGAUGUUGCAUGACAUUUGCUUAAAAGGUGCAAUUGCAUCACUACCAGAUGGACCUGCGUUGUAUUAGCUAGUUGGUGGGGUAACGGCUCACCAAGGCGACGAUACAUAGCCGACCUGAGAGGGUGAUCGGCCACACUGGGACUGAGACACGGCCCAGACUCCUACGGGAGGCAGCAGUAGGGAAUCUUCGGCAAUGGACGGAAGUCUGACCGAGCAACGCCGCGUGAGUGAAGAAGGUUUUCGGAUCGUAAAGCUCUGUUGUAAGAGAAGAACGAGUGUGAGAGUGGAAAGUUCACACUGUGACGGUAUCUUACCAGAAAGGGACGGCUAACUACGUGCCAGCAGCCGCGGUAAUACGUAGGUCCCGAGCGUUGUCCGGAUUUAUUGGGCGUAAAGCGAGCGCAGGCGGUUAGAUAAGUCUGAAGUUAAAGGCUGUGGCUUAACCAUAGUACGCUUUGGAAACUGUUUAACUUGAGUGCAAGAGGGGAGAGUGGAAUUCCAUGUGUAGCGGUGAAAUGCGUAGAUAUAUGGAGGAACACCGGUGGCGAAAGCGGCUCUCUGGCU
rnacentral:rRNA from 1 species